GAAACGAAGCCUGAUCUCUCUCGUAAAACCCUACCCCAUUCGCCUCGAGCCUCGGCCGCAAGACUGCAAGUUCAUUUGGGCCGCCGCUGCCGCAGGCGCGUCGGGUUGAUGUGAGACGACUCCGUGCCGACGUAUUCUUCUGCCACUUCCUCUCUCCGAAACCCUUAGGAGGCACUCGGUGCUGGUCGUCCAACUUGGCGCCUCCGCUGCCUUAUCGGCUUCUGCGGUCGCCCUUCGGUCAAAUUGGCUCCUCCGACUGCCCUCGCCGCGCCUGGUACGCAGAGUUUAUUGUUUUCCACCAAUAACUUGUCAGCUUGCUAAAAAAUUUCGUCUUGUUGCUGCUUCCGGCUUUAUUUUGAGUUUGAUUUCUUGAGGAGGAGCUCUCUCUCUCUCUCUCUGUUGAGUGUUGAGAACCAUUCUUCAGUGCAUGAAACGGGGAACCAUGACAGCCGAGGAUGAGUUUACCAUAUAUACUUACCCAUGGAACUACGGGAAGAAGAACAAGAAGAAAACAGAAAACAAGUAUUUUGCUCUUUUUGUGUGCAAGUUGGCAUGGGAGGCGUUGGAAAAAUAUUAUUCGUUCCUAUUUUUGCCACACAGGUUUGUCCGCAUCGUCAAGGUCUUUGUCUUCUUGCAGUCAAUAUCAGAGCCACCUAGGUGGAAGAGAAAAAGAGAGGAAAAUGCGAAAGCUCAUGGCUCCGUUGAUAAACGGUUGCGUCUUCUUUUACCUUCCAAGUGACUGCGAUUUUCAGAUACCUCUAGUUUUUGGUGCACCUGGUCGUCCUGCUGCAAUACAAUCACAUGAGCUUUGGCGGGGCUCCUGUUGAGGUAGAGACAGAAGAAGAGGUAGAAGAGUUGAUGCUACAAAAUGAUAAGGAUUCUGCAAACGGUGAAAGUUAUCAAAGUUCAUGCUAUCUUUUCCAGCUCUUCAUUUGACUUCCUUUGAUGAAGUCAAGGCAGUCAUUAUUGGACAGAUUAUGUGAAGGUGGAGAAUUAUUAGAAAGAAUUUUAUCCAGAGGUGGAAGGUACUCAGAGGAGGAUGCAAAAGCUAUAGUUAUUCAAAUACUGAGUGUAAUCGCCUUUUGUCAUCUUCAAGGUGUUGUGCAUCGUGAUUUAAAGCCAGAGAAUUUUCUUUUCACCACUAGAGAUGAAAAUGCUCAGAUGAAGUUGAUUGAUUUUGGCCUUUCCGAUUUUGUUAAACCAGUUUACAAAUCUCAAGUACUCCAGAGUUGAAAUUGAUGAAGUGCGGUUCGAGUG